AACGAUCAGUUCUCGUGCCCGCCUGCUGCUGUUGGUUUAACGAACGUCAGAGCUGUGUGAAGUCGGUUCCUGGGGUACCAGUUGUCCCUGCAGUUGGCACCAGGCUUCACCCUUUCCGUCCCCUUAGCGUGAGAUUCCAAAGGAAAUGCCAGUGUUUUGGGGGGUCCAUUGUUUCAAUAGUCUCACGGCCAGAGGGAGGGACACACCCGCGGCAGUAUAGAAGGGCAGCUUGCGGGAGUGUGUUCUCUCCUUUCGCCGCGCCUGUCCCUGGGAUUACAAUGAGGUCAUCAGGUUUGGUGGCCUUUACCUGCCACCUCACCGGCAGGGAGGUUUAUUGAGGCGCAGGGGGUCAUUCUACUUGCCUGAUUCCCCGGGGGUGGGGAUGACUUUCGCUUGACCUCAGCUUGUCGCUUCAAUCUGAUUAGAAAACCGAAGAACGCUCCCGAGGCUCCAGAAUCCAGAGGCGGCUGCCUCAAAGAGGCUCCUGGGAGGUCUCUCAUUGCUAGCCCAAUGGGAUGGUAUGGAGCAGAGAAAAGAGAAACCUUUGAAGUGGAAGUCUCUCGCACUAAUGGCAUAAUUACUCCAGGAAACCAUUUACAAACAAAAAUGAAUUCAGACGUCUCCAAGCCCCAUGGGCAUCCGCAGCGUUCUCUGGCUCGGUAUGUUUCUGGUAUUAAAAUGCAUUUUCGAGAAACGCUGGUUGUAGCCUUUGCCCAGAUCCAUCUCUCCCUCCCCCACAACGAGGAUAAGGGGGCUUUAAAGGCUGUGUUGUUGAAGUCAUGAGAGCACAAGACUCUCCUUGUUGGAAGGUUCUGGAACAGCUUUGUCCAGCUUUCCCAGCCCAAGCCUGACUUCCUUCCUUCUAUGUCCGCUCUCUGGAGAUGCCCAUGAGAUACUGACUUUCCUCAGAGUCCUUGAGCCCCGAGGCUACCUAGCCCAUUGCCUCCCUUCAGCGAGCUAAUGGAGAUACAUAUUGCAAUAUUAACUUUUAAAAUUCCAUAUUAUCACUCUGUUGGGAUAAAUGAGGUGUGUAGAAAAACCCGUAACACCGCAUUAGCUUCUGUCUUUGGGUAGCACAUCUGCUCCCUCCAGAUGAAAUCCUCAGAGCCAUAAAGAAAGGGAAGGGCCAAGGCAGAGAGCACCCUUCCUCAGGAGUCUGAGUUUCUGGCUGACGUGGAACAGUUGACAUUUGGCUGGAGGGGUUUCAA